rnacentral:rRNA from 1 species
UACGUAGGGUGCAAGCGUUAUCCGGAAUUAUUGGGCGUAAAGAGCUCGUAGGCGGUUUGUCGCGUCUGCUGUGAAAACUGGGGGCUCAACCCCCAGCCUGCAGUGGGUACGGGCAGACUAGAGUGCGGUAGGGGAGAUUGGAAUUCCUGGUGUAGCGGUGGAAUGCGCAGACAUCAGGAGGAACACCGAUGGCGAAGGCAGAUCUCUGGGCCGUAACUGACGCUGAUGAGCGAAAGCGUGGGGAGCGAACAGG